AACGCUGGCGGCAGGCCUAACACAUGCAAGUCGAGCGGGUAGAGAGGUGCUUGCAUCUCUUGAGAGCGGCGGACGGGUGAGUAAUGCCUAGGAAUCUGCCUAGUGGUGGGGGAUAACGUUCGGAAACGGACGCUAAUACCGCAUACGUCCUACGGGAGAAANCGGGGGGAUCUUCGGACCUCGCGCCAUUAGAUGAGCCUAGGUCGGAUUAGCUAGUUGGUGAGGUAAUGGCUCACCAAGGCGACGAUCCGUAACUGGUCUGAGAGGAUGAUCAGUCACACUGGAACUGAGACACGGUCCAGACUCCUACGGGAGGCAGCAGUGGGGAAUAUUGGACAAUGGGCGAAAGCCUGAUCCAGCCAUGCCGCGUGUGUGAAGAAGGUCUUCGGAUUGUAAAGCACUUUAAGUUGGGAGGAAGGGUAGUAACCUAAUACGUUGCUACUUUGACGUUACCGACAGAAUAAGCACCGGCUAACUUCGUG
rnacentral:rRNA from 1 species